UACGUAGGGCGCAAGCGUUAUCCGGAAUUAUUGGGCGUAAAGAGCUCGUAGGCGGCUUGUCGCGUCGACUGUGAAAACCCGCAGCUCAACUGUGGGCUUGCAGCCGAUACGGGCAGGCUAGAGUUCGGUAGGGGAGACUGGAAUUCCUGGUGUAGCGGUGAAAUGCGCAGAUAUCAGGAGGAACACCGGUGGCGAAGGCGGGUCUCUGGGCCGAUACUGACGCUGAGGAGCGAAAGCGUGGGAGCGAACAGG
rnacentral:rRNA from 1 species